GCAAGACGAGAGUGAAACUGCGAAUGGCUCAUUAUAUAAGUUAUCGUUUAUUUGAUAGUGCCUGUCCUACACGGAUAACAGUGGUAAUUCUAGAGCUAAUACGUGCGAAAUGCCCCGACUUCGGAAGGGGCGUAUUUAUCAGAAUCAGAACCAAUGCCCUCGCGGGCUCCUUGGUGGCUCAUGAUAACUCCACAGAUCGCAUGGCCUUGCGCCGGCGAUGGCUCAUUCAAAUUUCUUCCCUAUCAACUUUCGACGGUACGGUCUUGGCCUACCGUGGUUGCAACGGGUGACGGAGGGUUAGGGCUCGACCCCGGAGAAGGAGCCUGAGAAACGGCUGCUACAUCCAAGGAAGGCAGCAGGCGCGCAAAUUAUCCAAUCCCGACUCGGGGAGAUAGUGACAAUAAAUACCGAUACAGGGCUCUUUUGGGCCCCGUAAUUGGAAUGAGUACAAUUUAAACCUCUUAACGAGGAACAAUUGGAGGGCAAGUCUGGUGCCAGCAGCCGCGGUAAUUCCAGCUCCAAUAGCGUAUAUUAAAGUUGUUGUGGUUAAAAAGCUCGUAGUCGAACCUCGGGCCCGUCCGGCCGGUCCGCCUCACCGCGUGCACUGGUCUGGCCGGGCCCUUCCCUCUGCGGAACCGCAUGCCCUUCGCUGGGCGUGUCGGGGAGGCAGGACUUUUACUUUGAAAAAAUUAGAGUGCUCAAGGCAGGCCAAUGCUCGGAUAGAUUAGCAUGGAAUAAUGAAAUAGGACGUCGGUUCUGUUUUGUUGGUUUCUAGGACCGCCGUAAUGAUCAAUAGGGACGGUCGGGGGCAUCA
rnacentral:rRNA from 1 species